rnacentral:rRNA from 1 species
CCUACGGGAGGCAGCAGUGAGGGAUAUUGGUCAAUGGGGGAAACCCUGAACCAGCAACGCCGCGUGAGGGAAGACGGUUUUCGGAUUGUAAACCUCUGUCCUCUGUGAAGAUAAUGACGGUAGCAGAGGAGGAAGCUCCGGCUAACUACGUGCCAGCAGCCGCGGUAAUACGUAGGGAACAAGCGUUGUCCGGAUUUACUGGGUGUAAAGGGUGCGUAGGCGGCCCUGCAAGUCAGAAGUGAAAUCCAUGGGCUUAACCCGUGAACUGCUUUUGAAACUGUAGGGCUUGAGUGAAGUAGAGGCAGGCGGAAUUCCCGGUGUAGCGGUGAAAUGCGUAGAGAUCGGGAGGAACACCAGUGGCGAAGGCGGCCUACUGGGCUUUAACUGACGCCGAAGCACGAAAGCGUGGGUAGCAAACAGGAUUAGAUACCCCUGUAGUC